AACGAGAGCGACCGGUGCUUGCACUGGUCAAUCUAGUGGCGAACGGGUGAGUAACACGUGGGUAACCUGCCCAUCAGAGGGGGAUAACAUUCGGAAACGGAUGCUAAAACCGCAUAGGUCUUCGAACCGCAUGGUUUGAAGAGGAAAAGAGGCGCAAGCUUCUGCUGAUGGAUGGACCCGCGGUGCAUUAGCUAGUUGGUGAGGUAACGGCUCACCAAGGCCGUGAUGCAUAGCCGACCUGAGAGGGUGAUCGGCCACAUUGGGACUGAGACACGGCCCAAACUCCUACGGGAGGCAGCAGUAGGGAAUCUUCCGCAAUGGACGCAAGUCUGACGGAGCAACGCCGCGUGAGUGAAGAAGGUUUUCGGAUCGUAAAACUCUGUUGUUAGAGAAGAACAAGUGCUAGAGUAACUGUUAGCGCCUUGACGGUAUCUAACCAGAAAGCCACGGCUAACUACGUGCCAGCAGCCGCGGUAAUACGUAGGUGGCAAGCGUUGUCCGGAUUUAUUGGGCGUAAAGCGAGCGCAGGCGGUUCCUUAAGUCUGAUGUGAAAGCCCCCGGCUCAACCGGGGAGGGUCAUUGGAAACUGGGGAACUUGAGUGCAGAAGAGGAGAGUGGAAUUCCAUGUGUAGCGGUGAAAUGCGUAGAUAUAUGGAGGAACACCAGUGGCGAAGGCGACUCUCUGGUCUGUAACUGACGCUGAGGCUCGAAAGCGUGGGUAGCAAACAGGAUUAGAUACCCUGGUAGUCCACGCCGUAAACGAUGAGUGCUAAGUGUUGGAGGGUUUCCGCCCUU
rnacentral:rRNA from 1 species